AGAGUACCUCUAUAAUAGAUUGAGCGUGAUGUUUGUUUUAUUAUUGUUGUUUCCUAAUUUCUUAAUUUAUUUUGUUGAAAAUAAAAAAUUUAGUGAGUCACUCUGGCUCUGAUGUUAAGAGGAUUUCAAAUAGUCCCGUAGCUCAGUUGGUUAGAGCACUACACUGAUAAUGUAGGGGUCAGCGGUUCAAAUCCGCUCGGGACUACAUUGUCAUCUGUAGCUUUAGCGAAAGAUGGCGCUCAAUUGUUUUAAAAGUUCUAGCAUAGAUGUACUUCUUUGCUAAAGCUUCAAAGCACAUUGGGGGAUUAGCUCAGCUGGCUAGAGCACCUGCCUUGCACGCAGGGGGUCAUCGGUUCGACUCCGAUAUCCUCCACUAUUUUUUUUGAAAGUAAGAAGAUUAAGACACAAAGUAAAGACGGAGUUUAUCCGCCGGAGCGAAGUGUAGGAGGAAUAUCCUCCACUUUUUUUUAGAUAAGUAUAUAUAACGGUGAAAUGUUUUAUAUAAUCAACAAAGUUCUUUGACAUAUUGGAAUUGAUUGAAGUAGAAUAAUAAGUAGAUAAAAUUAGAGAUAA
rnacentral:tRNA from 1 species